CCUACGGGGCGCUGCAGUGGGGAAUAUUGGACAAUGGGCGAAAGCCUGAUCCAGCCAUGCCGCGUGUGUGAAGAAGGCCUUCGGGUUGUAAAGCACUUUCAGUGGGGAAGAAAGCCUUGGGGCUAAUACCCUCGAGGAAGGACAUCACCCACAGAAGAAGCACCGGCUAACUCCGUGCCAGCAGCCGCGGUAAUACGGAGGGUGCGAGCGUUAAUCGGAAUUACUGGGCGUAAAGCGCGCGUAGGCGGUCUGAUAAGCCGGUUGUGAAAGCCCCGGGCUCAACCUGGGAACGGCAUCCGGAACUGUCCGGCUAGAGUGCAGGAGAGGAAGGUAGAAUUCCCGGUGUAGCGGUGAAAUGCGUAGAGAUCGGGAGGAAUACCAGUGGCGAAGGCGGCCUUCUGGACUGACACUGACGCUGAGGUGCGAAAGCGUGGGUAGCAAACAGGAUUAGAUACCCCGGUAGUC
rnacentral:rRNA from 1 species